AGGGUGGUGGACUUACUUGCUUGUUAGUUUACUUGCUUUCAUUCCCGCUUGUCCACUACUUUAUUGCAUGAAGUAUUCAGUUCACAUAUAUAUAUAUAAUAUCAAUUGGCUUACUAUCUCUAUUUGCAUUAUAUAUCUCCUCCUUGACUCCCCAACUACUAGCUACGAGUCUCCCACUUCUUACUUGCAUGCCGUAUUGCUUGUUGAAAAUUGCACUACUAAAUACAGAAUUGACCAGUGCCCAAUAAGGCUAAGGCUCCCGCUCCCCAUGCUUUAACCAAUGACCUAAUUCCAGUAGUUCACUUGUCCACUCUUAGGCUCCGGUCUUCCAUUCGAUUUUGGAUAUGAAAAAACUUGUAUAGUAGUUACUGGGCUGGUCUUACUAUCUUUAUGCGAAGUAUGACUUGACUGCCUAUUGAUCUGCUCCUCUUUUAGGAAAAUCUGAUAUACCUAUCUCGCAUCCUAAAGCUCCCUUCUAUAAACUAUGGUCUCACCAAACUACCCUCACUACCCACAUGGACUAAACAACUACCCAACAUACAAGAGUCGAACCUCCUUCCCUCACGCUCUUAGCACCUUGCUUUGUAUAGCUGGAAACUAUCUCUCUUCGCUUUCAACCUGCCACUACUGCCCACGGGCCUUGCUAUUACUUUAUCUAAAGCUAACUACCUUGUCUCUAACUCUGAAACUACCAUCUAUGAGACUUUCACUUUACAACCAGAUCCUAUGGUUUAUUGUUAGCAUGUCGGCAACUACCUACAAAACGGAACUACUAAUAUUGGAUUGAAACACUACCUUAUCAGAUUUGUUACUACUGGAAAUGUGUAACUCGAUACGCAGAUCCUAUGUUCUAUUAGCAGUGAGCAGCCAUAUUCUGAGUUACGAGUUGGAGACACCCCGGAGCUAGAUUCAAGGUAGAAGGUUUCAAUAACCAAAAAGAAUGAGAUAGGGGAGUUCUCGACUUAAGCUAGGCGCAUUCCAGACAAGAGCCCAGGAGCGGGCAAGUACUAAUCCAAUUCUUUGACUUAUGAGUUACAGUCUAGUGACGGAGAGUAAGUCUUAGUUAUAUGUGUUUAAGUCUAGCAGAGCACUACUUCGAUUCCAAGUUUCCAGUUUCAAUACUCAUUUCCUUAUAUUGAUUCCUAGUUCCGAGUUGAAUUGCGAGUUCCGAGUCUAAUUCUUAUGUGCGGGGUUGAGGAUCUAAAGUCAGAGGAUAAGAAGUAAGGCUUUGACUGUUAGCUUAGAAUCCAAGUAUAGUGCUGUAAGGACCGAACCCAAGAAACCAUGCCUGAUAUGGAAGCUUCAGAAUGACAUGAUAGACCUGGAAUCCAGCUCGUACUGACAAGAAUCUAACCAUCAAGUAAGAAAUAACUAUUACCCUAUACAACUAUAAGAAAGAAACUAGAAAGUCAUAAUUACACUCCUUCUUGCCCGAACCUAGCUCCUUAGCUUCAAUAAGACCAAUCAAUACCAGUAAGGAGAAUGAAAACAAUGCCAAUAAGAAUGGAAACGAUACCUCUCAGAAGCAAACAGUUACCAUCAAAAUCAACUAAUAGGUAAAAGGCUGGAAUCUCUGCUAACAAUCCUUCUACUAGGGGGAAAGGAACGAAAACAGGGCUACUACCACUAAACAAUAGAAAGAAUAGAGCUGGGAACAAGCAAACAGUAUCUAAGGUCCGUGCUCCACCUACUUCAAAGCUACCUUUCCUGUCUAGAAGACUGACUUUCUGGAGAACCUAUAAAUCAUAUGUUCAUCUCUUAUUCUUCUACCACUAGAGAUACUUUAACUUCAAAUACAAUACAGAAGCUAACUCACUUGUUUGAGUCACCAAGUCACUACUUACUCAAGGAAUCUAUUUAUACUAACUAAGUUCUACUACCAGUAGGAGUGGUGGGGCAUAUGAAACUUCAAUCACUGCUAAUAUGAAACUUCAAUCACUGCUAACAAGAAGAAAUCAUGGGUCCUACUCGGACCUACUAGAGAAUUCAAGCUGGAAAUAUAGGUUUCACUUACCUGUUAAUCAGACUUGGGCUGGGGCUUCUAAGACUUACCUUGCAAAACCAGUN
rnacentral:lncRNA from 1 species